UACGUAGGGCGCAAGCGUUAUCCGGAAUUAUUGGGCGUAAAGAGCGUGUAGGCGGCCCGAUAAGUCCGCCGUGAAAGUCCAGGGCUCAACCCUGGGAUGCCGGUGGAAACUGUCGGGCUAGAGUCCGGAAGAGGCGAGUGGAAUUCCUGGUGUAGCGGUGAAAUGCGCAGAUAUCAGGAGGAACACCAAUGGCGAAGGCAGCUCGCUGGGACGGUACUGACGCUGAGACGCGAAAGCGUGGGGAGCAAACAGG
rnacentral:rRNA from 1 species